GGAUGUGCGACGGGUGAGUACGCGUGGAACGUGCCUUUCACUACGGAAUAGCUUUUGGAAACGAAAGGUAAUACCGUAUACGCCCUCCGGGGGAAAGAUUUAUCGGUGAAAGAUCGGUCCGCGUUAGAUUAGCUAGUUGGUGAGGUAAAAGCUCACCAAGGCGACGAUCUAUAGCUGGUCUGAGAGGAUGAUCAGCCACACUGGAACUGAGACACGGUCCAGACUCCUACGGGAGGCAGCAGUGGGGAAUAUUGCACAAUGGGCGCAAGCCUGAUGCAGCCAUGCCGCGUGAAUGAUGAAGGCCUUAGGGUUGUAAAACUCUUUCGCUAGGGAUGAUAAUGACAGUACCUAGUAAAGAAGCCCCGGCUAACUUCGUGCCAGCAGCCGCGGUAAUACGAAGGGGGCUAGCGUUGUUCGGAAUUACUGGGCGUAAAGCGCACGUAGGCGGACUUUAAGUCAGAUGUGAAAUCCCGAGGCUCAACCUCGGAACUGCAUUUGAAACUGGGAGUCUAGAGAUCAGGAGAGGUUAGCGGAAUACCGAGUGUAGAGGUGAAAUUCGUAGAUAUUCGGUGGAACACCAGUGGCGAAGGCGGCUAACUGGACUGAUACUGACGCUGAGGUGCGAAAGUGUGGGGAGCAAACAGGAUUAG
rnacentral:rRNA from 1 species